AACGAACGCUGGCGGCAGGCCUAACACAUGCAAGUCGAACGCUCCGCAAGGGGAGUGGCGCACGGGUGAGUAACACGUGGGAACCUACCUUCUGGUACGGAACAACCAAGGGAAACUCUGGCUGAUACCGUAUACGACCUCCGGGUGAAAGAUUGAUCGCCGGAAGAGGGGCCCGCGUCCGAUUAGGUAGUUGGUGAGGUAACGGCUCACCAAGCCUGUGAUCGGUAGCUGGUCUGAGAGGANGACCAGCCACACUGGGACUGAGACACGGCCCAGACUCCUACGGGAGGCAGCAGUGGGGAAUAUUGGACAAUGGGCGCAAGCCUGAUCCAGCCAUGCCGCGUGAGUGAUGAAGGCCUUCGGUUG
rnacentral:rRNA from 1 species